GAUGAACGCUGGCGGCGUGCCUAAUACAUGCAAGUCGAGCGAACAGACGAGGAGCUUGCUCCUCUGACGUUAGCGGCGGACGGGUGAGUAACACGUGGAUAACCUACCUAUAAGACUGGGAUAACUUCGGGAAACCGGAGCUAAUACCGGAUAAUAUAUUGAACCGCAUGGUUCAAUAGUGAAGGACGGUUUUGCUGUCACUUAUAGAUGGAUCCGCGCCGCAUUAGCUAGUUGGUAAGGUAACGGCUUACCAAGGCGACGAUGCGUAGCCGACCUGAGAGGGUGAUCGGCCACACUGGAACUGAGACACGGUCCAGACUCCUACGGGAGGCAGCAGUAGGGAAUCUUCCGCAAUGGGCGAAAGCCUGACGGAGCAACGCCGCGUGAGUGAUGAAGGUCUUCGGAUCGUAAAACUCUGUUAUUAGGGAAGAACAAAUGUGUAAGUAACUAUGCACGUCUUGACGGUACCUAAUCAGAAAGCCACGGCUAACUACGU
rnacentral:rRNA from 1 species